GUUUUGUGGAACGGGAAGUUUUCUCCUUCCAAAACGUCAUGCAGCACGUCGUUCCAUGUUUCUUGAUCCUCAUACUCGUACAGGUGAUUUUUGCACAAGUUUUUUAUUUCAUUACCACAUUUUGCAAUUACUGAAGAACACAAGGUAAACGUUCCGCCACCCUUAACUCUUUUGUCCCCUCGUGUAGACGACAUUUCAUAGCAGACCACCUAAAUAUUCGUAUCGUUUCUUGACUUUUAAUAGAAUCCGAUGAAAAAUUAGAAACUUCCGGUCACCAUAAAAUGAUCAUCGGCACCGGAAACAACCCCGAAAAAUUUCCGGAAAUAAAAAAAAAAUGUUGCAAAAAAACGGAAUAAAAACUUUUGAGUCGGCGGGAUUUCUCUGAGUCGGUCGGGCGAGGGGAAACAAACCAUAUUUUUAUUUUGGCCCA
rnacentral:lncRNA from 1 species